UACGAAGGGGCUAGCGUUGCUCGGAAUCACUGGGCGUAAAGCGCACGUAGGCGGACUCUUAAGUCGGUGGUGAAAUCCUGGAGCUCAACUCCAGAACUGCCUUCGAUACUGGGAGUCUCGAGUCCGGGAGAGGUGAGUGGAACUGCGAGUGUAGAGGUGAAAUUCGUAGAUAUUCGCAAGAACACCAGUGGCGAAGGCGGCUCACUGGCCCGGUACUGACGCUGAGGUGCGAAGCGUGGGGAGCAAACAGG
rnacentral:rRNA from 1 species